ACCUCGAUUGGAGUCAAUGGAA
rnacentral:misc_RNA from 1 species